rnacentral:rRNA from 1 species
ACUACUUGACGCAAGUCGAGUAUUUUUACAAACAAUGUGUAAUGAACGUCGUUUUAUUAUAACAAAAUAAAACUUUCAACAACGGAUCUCUUGGCUCUCGCAUCGAUGAAGAACGCAGCGAAUUGCGAUAAGUAAUGUGAAUUGCAGAAUUCAGUGAAUCAUCGAAUCUUUGAACGCAGCUUGCGCUCUCUGGUAUUCCGGAGAGCAUGCCUGUUUCAGUGUCAUGAAAUCUCAACCACUAGGGUUUCCUAAUGGAUUGGAUUUGGGCGUCUGCGAUUUCUGAUCGCUCGCCUUAAAAGAGUUAGCAAGUUUGACAUUAAUGUCUGGUGUAAUAAGUUUCACUGGGUCCAUUGUGUUGAAGCGUGCUUCUAAUCGUCCGCAAGGACAAUUACUUUGACUCUGGCCUGAAAUCAGGUAGGACUACCCGCUGAACUUAAGCAUAUCAAUAAGCGGAGGAA